rnacentral:rRNA from 1 species
GACGUAGGGCGCGAGCGUUGUCCGGAUUUAUUGGGCGUAAAGAGCUCGUAGGCGGCUUGUUGCGUCGGCUGUGAAAACCCAUGGCUCAACCGUGGGCUUGCAGCCGAUACGGGCAGGCUAGAGUUCGGUAGGGGAGACUGGAAUUCCUGGUGUAGCGGUGAAAUGCGUAGAUAUCGGGAGGAACACCUGUGGCGAAGGCGGCCCCCUGGUUGGAUACUGACGCUGAUACGCGAAAGCGUGGGGAGCAAACAGG